GACGAACGCUGGCGGCGUGCUUAACACAUGCAAGUCGAACUGAAAGGCCCUGCUUGCAGGGUAUUCGAGUGGCGAACGGGUGAGUAACACGUGGGUGAUCUGCCCUGCACUUCGGGAUAAGCCUGGGAAACUGGGUCUAAUACCGGAUAGGAGCCAUUUUUAGUGUGAUGGUUGGAAAGUUUUUUCGGUGUAGGAUGAGCUCGCGGCCUAUCAGCUUGUUGGUGGGGUAAUGGCCUACCAAGGCGGCGACGGGUAGCCGGCCUGAGAGGGUGGACGGCCACAUUGGGACUGAGAUACGGCCCAGACUCCUACGGGAGGCAGCAGUGGGGAAUAUUGCACAAUGGGCGCAAGCCUGAUGCAGCGACGCCGCGUGGGGGAUGACGGCCUUCGGGUUGUAAACUCCUUUCGCUAGGGACGAAGCUUUUUGUGACGGUACCUAGAUAAGAAGCACCGGCUAACUACGUG
rnacentral:rRNA from 1 species